ensembl:lncRNA
GGGGGGGGGGGGGAUAAAAGGAUGGUAUGUGGCAUCAUGCUCAAAAUACAGAAUCUGUCUACUGCAGGAACUGUGUUGGUCCGUACCAUCGGCUUAAGUGUUAAAUUCAAAAUGGUACAGGAACUGACUACUGACCCAUGUGAGUGAGGCCUGUGGGUCCUUGGGGUAAAUGCAUCAGGCACUAAUGGUACAGCACGCGUGUUUGUCGUCCAAAGUUCCAUUGCAUGCACCACUGCCAGGCUUGUACUCAUUUGAUGCUGUUUGUCUGAUAUUGACAUGUUUACGUCUUUGUCCUGUAUUUUCUGGCCUGGCCCGGCCCUAGGCAGAAGAGUGGUCUUAAGUCUGCUCCAAUUCCAAACCUAUUCCAGAGGUGUAGCCAUAAAGUUGAGGCAGUGUAGACUUAAGUAGAAAUUAGGUCAGUAUUGUUUUAGUUGUUUUUUUUUUUCUUUCUUUUUUACAGUGUGACUUAGUUUUGUUUGCAAGUGUACAGACACUUUAUUGACAUGGUGUUGGCCCAACUGUCCCUUUUUUCCCUCAGUAAAGCAACAAAGAUGAUCUCAACAUCUUUCAUUUACAUUUUUCUUUUUUCCGUCUUUUGAGUGCAGUUGUUUCUGCUUAUGCCGAUAAUUCUAAACUUUGACUGUCACAGUUGAUGACAGUUUUUCCUGUAUUUGACUGAAUUGUGUGAUUUUUACGUUCUUGGGCUUUUCAGUAAUUGAUUUUUAUUUUCAUUGACAAAACAGUAGAGUGUGUUCCAUUUUGUCAGUUACUGCUUGUAUCAGGAAAAUCCAUAAAUGCCUUGCAAAAUACCAUUUUCAGUAUAUUUCAAAUAAUUCGAUGUCUUAAAACACAUGCUCUACACCCUUGAAUGCUGUAUGUUAUGACAUUCUUGUUAUUGUCUAUCUACUGUAGUUGCUUAGAGGGUCCACUGAAAAGAAUCUGAACAAAAUGAAGCUUUGCACAUGUACAUGAAGUUGCUCUCUGGUUGGUCAGAUACACUUGUGUGUGUGCAGGGGGGCAAGCUUAAAAUGUUACUGACAUUGACUUUGUUGCUGUGCUUGCUGUGUGUACCACAAACCAUGUGAAGUGUAUUUUAUUUCGAUGAAUAGGGACAAUGAUUGAGAAAGUAAACUGUAACUGAAAAGAACAGUUAAAGAUGUAUUGUACAGCAUUUUGGGUAGGAGUGGAAAUCCAGCAGAGCUCAAUGGCAUGUGACCACAAUGUAAUUUUAGCCCUGUUUUAUUUACAGGGGCAUCUAGUGGCUUGUGAGCAGCUCAAUACAUCUUUGAUUUUAUACUCAUUUUUUUUGUUAUGUAUUUUAUGUCCGGCCAUGUUACAUCAGCCAUUUAAACAUCAGUUUUCGAUGUGAAGUAAUAUAUUUAUCCACGAUGCUUUUUGAGAAUGCUCUCCUUGAAAUGAAAAUCCCCUCAUAACUAACAUGUUGGGCAAAACCUUUGUGUGACUGGGAAGGAUAAAAACGUGCAGUGUUUUGACCUCAGUGUCAAGAACCCGGAGACAUCAUCAUCAUCAUAUCACCAUCCCUUGACUUUAUUUCACAUGGUGUUCAGUGACAAUAUACAGACAACAGUGUCACAGUAGUUGCGGCUCAGAAAAGCUGCAGCAGCAGAGUCAGCAUCUGCAGGAAACAUGUCGAGAGUGGUAUUUGGGUACUGUGGCAUUUUUGCGUAACGUCUGAAUGCAUUUACAAAUUUGAGUGUUCUAACUCGACUGCACACUUGCAUGUUCUCGAUACAGAGAAGACUCUAAGUCAAUCUCCUGUGCUAUACAAUUACUGGUACCACUGUAUGCACUGUGAACAGAAUAAAUGAUAUACAUGUUUA